ACUGCUCAGUAACACGUGGACAACCUGCCCUUAGGUUGGGUAUAAACCCGGGAAACUGGGUAUAAUACCCGAUAGGUCUCGAUUGCUGGAAUGCAUCGAGAUUUAAAGCUCCGGCGCCUAAGGAUGGGUCUGCGGCCUAUCAGGUAGUAGUGGGUGUAGCGUACCUACUAGCCUACGACGGGUACGGGUUGUGAGAGCAAGAGCCCGGAGAUGGAUUCUGAGACACGAAUCCAGGCCCUACGGGGUGCAGCAGGCGCGAAAACUUUACAAUGCUGGCAACAGCGAUAAGGGAACCUCGAGUGCCAGGUUACAAAUCUGGCUGUCGAGAUGCCUAAAAAGCAUUUCAUAGCAAGGGCCGGGCAAGACCGGUGCCAGCCGCCGCGGUAACACCGGCGGCUCGAGUGGUAACCGUUAUUAUUGGGUCUAAAGGGUCUGUAGCCGGCCGGAUAAGUCUCUUGAGAAAUCUGGCAGCUUAACUGUCAGGCUUUCAGGAGAUACUGUCUGGCUCGAGGCCGGGAGAGGUGAGAGGUACUUCAGGGGUAGGGGCGAAAUCUUGUAAUCCUUGAAGGACCACCAGUGGCGAAGGCGUCUCACCAGAACGGACCUGACGGCAAGGGACGAAAGCUAGGGGCACGAACCGGAUUAGAUACCCGGGUAGUCCUAGCCGUAAACGAUACUCGCUAGGUGUCGGCCACGGUGCGACCGUUGUCGGUGCCGUAGGGAAGCCGUGAAGCGAGCCACCUGGGAAGUACGGCCGCAAGGCUGAAACUUAAAGGAAUUGGCGGGGGAGCAC
rnacentral:rRNA from 1 species